rnacentral:rRNA from 1 species
AUCUAUGGCCAUGCCACCCUGAACAUGCCUAAUCUCAUCCAAUCUCGGAAGCUAAGCAAUGUUGGACCUGGUUAGUACUUGGAUGGGAGACCACCUAGGAAGACCAGGUGCUGUUAGCG